rnacentral:sRNA from 1 species
CCGGAGGUAGGGUCCAGCGGC